CACGUAGGGCGCGAGCGUUGUCCGGAAUUAUUGGGCGUAAAGAGCUCGUAGGCGGCCUGUUGCGUCCGCUGUGAAAGCCCGGGGCUUAACCCCGAGCCUGCAGUGGAUACGGGCAGACUAGAGGUAGGUAGGGGAGAAUGGAAUUCCCGGUGUAGCGGUGAAAUGCGCAGAUAUCGGGAGGAACACCGGUGGCGAAGGCGGUUCUCUGGGCCUUACCUGACGCUGAGGAGCGAAAGCGUGGGGAGCGAACAGG
rnacentral:rRNA from 1 species